GGGGGAGCAAGCGUUGUUCGGAUUUACUGGGCGUAAAGGGCGCGUAGGCGGCCACCGCAAGUCGACUGUGAAAUCUCUGGGCUUAACCCAGAACGGUCAGCCGAUACUGCGGGGCUAGAGUGCAGAAGGGGCAACUGGAAUUCUCGGUGUAGCGGUGAAAUGCGUAGAUAUCGAGAGGAACACCUGCGGCGAAGGCGGGUUGCUGGGCUGACACUGACGCUGAGGCGCGAAAGCUAGGGGAGCGAACGGGAUUAGAUACCCCGGUAGUCCUAGCCUUUAAACGAUGAAUGCUUGGUGUCUGGGGUUUUAUAGUCCCCGGGUGCCGUCGCUAACGCUUUAAGCAUUCCGCCUGGGGAGUACGGUCGCAAGACUG
rnacentral:rRNA from 1 species